rnacentral:ncRNA from 1 species
GUGGCUGGACGUUCAGUCGGGAAACCAUCUAGGAAUCUCUGUCAUCCGACAGAGCAACUCCCUCGGGAGUUUAAGUCA